rnacentral:piRNA from 1 species
GUAAAUGGAAUUUUGUGGCUUCUCAGGA